GGAAGGGUACUUUAAUGAGAAGAGUAAGUUUGCAUCUUACCAGUGAGGUCUCUCUCCUUCCU
rnacentral:tRNA from 1 species